GAUGAAGAACGUAGCGAAAUGCGAUAAGUAAUGCGAAUUGCAGAAUUUCCGUGAGUCAUCGAAUCUUUGAACGCACAUUGCGCCCACUGGUAUUCCGGUGGGCAUGCCUGUUCGAGCGUCAUUAUCCUCCCUCAAACCCCGGGUUUGGUGUUGGACCGAAGUUGUGUGAACAACUGGUCUCAAAGACAAUGACGGCGUCCGUGGGACCCUCGGUGCAACGAGCUUUUAGGAGCACGCAUCGAGUUGCAAGGACCUUCCGGGCCGGUCUCCUUUACCAUUUUACAAGGUUGACCUCGGAUCAGGUAGGAAUACCCGCUGAACUUAAGCAUAUCAAUAAGCGGAGGA
rnacentral:misc_RNA from 1 species